rnacentral:rRNA from 1 species
UACAGGGGGUGCAAACGUUGCUCGGAAUUAUUGGGCGUAAAGCGCGCGUAGGCGGCUACUUAAGUCGGAUGUGAGAGCCCCUGGCUUAACUGGGGAAGUGCACCCGAAACUGAGUAGCUAGAGUGCGAAAGAGGGUCGCGGAAUUCCCGGUGUAGAGGUGAAAUUCGUAGAUAUCGGGAGGAACACCUGUGGCGAAAGCGGCUCACUGGACCACAACUGACGCUGAGGCGCGAAAGCUAGGGGAGCAAACAGG